UUUUGUUGUGAUCUGCCUCAGCCAUCCAAGCUUUCCUCUUUAGACCCUCCCUUCCAUCGUAUCCAUCAACAAACGGGUUGAUUGGGUUGAACAUUUCCUCGGUGUUGAGCUCAUCAGAGUACAGAUUAGGCAGAGUAUGACCAUUCCAUAGGUCAUCUUCUUCUUCAGCUUCCUCUAUCAGAUCUUCACGGCCUUCCACUUGCUCCUC
rnacentral:lncRNA from 1 species